AAUAUAACCAUUGUAGGUAGAGCUGACCAAGUUUUCUCUCUUUAUUUCAGCCCUUUCAGUCUGGCAUGGCAGAAAAACCAAUGAACAUGUCGACAGAAAUGCCUAGCAAUGAAGAUACACACAAGGAAGACAUCCGUUGCUUAACCACCCUUAGCCACUUUGGGUUUGAAUGUUUCCCCACCCAGAUGGUGAACAAAUCCAUCCGGAAAGGAUUUUCUUUCAAUAUUCUCUGCGUGGGAGAAACUGGAAUUGGAAAAUCAACACUGAUCAACACACUGUUCAACACUAAUAUGAAAGAGAGCAAGUCUUCCCAUUUCUACUCCAAGGUCGGACUCAAAGUAAGGACAUUUGAACUUCUGGAAACAAACAUCCCACUGAAAUUGACCGUGGUGAAAACAGUGGGGUACGGUGACCAAAUCAGCAAAGAAGCCAGCUACCAGCCAGUUGUUGACUACAUAGAUGCUCAGUUUGAGCUGUAUCUCCAGGAGGAGCUGAAGAUCAAACGAUCCUUGAGUGACUAUCAGGAUUCUCGCAUCCAUGUGUGUUUCUACUUCAUCUCACCCACCGGACACUCCCUCAAGUCCCUGGACCUGCUGACGAUGAAGAACAUCGACAGAAGGGUGAAUAUCAUACCACUGAUUGCCAAAGCCGACUCGCUUUCCAAAAGCGACCUCCAGAGGUUCAAGAGUAACAUAAUGAGGGAGCUGACCAGCCACGGCAUCCAGAUAUACCAGUUCCCAAUAGAUGAUGAAACCCCGGCACAAGGGCUGUUACCUUUUGCUGUGGUAGGAAGUAUGGAGGAGGUGAAAGUUGGAAAAAGAAUGGUCAGAGGUCGCCAUUACCCUUGGGGAGUUUUGCAAGUGGAAAAUGAAAGUCACUGUGACUUUGUGAAGCUCCGGGAUUUGCUUCUGUCUACUAACAUGGAGGAUCUGAAGGACCAAACCCACGUUCAACAUUACGAAUGUUAUAGGAGAAGCAGACUGCAGAAACUUGGCUUCAACGACACGGGCCGAAACAAUCAGCCAGUGAGUUUCCAAGAGAUGUAUGAAGCCAAGAGACAAGAGUUCCAGGCUCAGUGUCAGAGGGAGGAGGAGGAACUGAAGCACAUGUUUAUGCAGCGAGUUAAGGAGAAGGAGCUGACCUUUAAGGAUGCCGAAAAGGAGGCAUCUGCAGGACAAAUUUGAACACCUGAAGAGAAUCCAACAAGAGGAGAUCCUGAAGCUGGAAGAAGAGAGACGGAAGUUAGAAGAGCAAAUCAUCGAUUUUUACAGGAUGAGGGCUGCCUCGGAUCCGCCACAGACUCCGGCGUGCACCAAUGUAAAGAAGGACAAAGAUCGAUAAUGAAGGCAUCCAGCUAAGGAAUCUGCCACUGGACAAAUGACACAGGUGAAGAAUAAGGACAAAUCAUCCAGAAAAAAUGUCCUAAGAAAAAGAGUAAAUUUGCCUAUUGGUAUAUCACAUCUCCAACAGGAUAAAAUUUCAUAAAUCUUCCCAAAUGUUUGUUUCUGCUGUUCUCUACAGACACUAAUGCAAAUGGUCUUUUUGUAGUCUAAGUCUGAUUAAUAAAUUAAAGCUGGCUUUGGA